rnacentral:rRNA from 2 species
GGACUACCCGGGUAUCUAAUCCCGUUUGCUCCCCUGGCUUUCGUGCCUCAGUGUCAGGUUCUGUCCAGUGACUCGCUUUCGCCUCUGGUGUUCCUCUCGAUAUCUACGCAUUUCACUGCUACACCGAGAAUUCCAGUCACCUCUCCAGACCUCCAGCGAUGCAGUUUCGAAUGCCAUUCCGGAGUUAGGCUCCGGGAUUUCACACCCGACUUGCAUCACCACCUACGCACCCUUUACGCCCAAUAAAUCCGAACAACGCUUGGCACCUCUGUAUUACCGCGGCUGCUGGCAC